UGGAAUAGAGAUGAACAAUCUAAUGAAACUAAGUUGACACCAUAAAGUUGAGAUAUUUGACUCUCCAAUAUUCUUGGAAUGACUUACAAUUAGGUACUUUGAAACUCCAAGUUUCUUGUAAUGACUUAUAAUUUGGUCAAAGUAGAGAUACUUGACUCUCCAAGAUUCUUGGAAUGACUUACAAUUUGGUCAAAAUUGAGAUACUUGACUCUCCAAGAUGGAAUUAUCUUCUAGUAGAAAAACAAGCAUAAGCACUUAAGGUCGAGAACAAGGGAUCGACUAAUGCAUAUGAAACUACACCAUGAAAUUUUCAUCUAGAUAAAACCAUGUAUGCACAGUUACCAACACAGUUUGUGUCUUGCAUGUACUAAUGCAUAUGAAACUACACCAUGAAAUUUUGCAUUGUAGAGGUAGUUUCAAACACAAUUUCAUUUUCAUGUUGCUUAUGUGGCUAUCUUGGAAACAUCAAAAUGAAACUCUCCAUUGGGAUUAGCCUAGAUUUUCAUUGCCUCGCCAUCACAUUAACCGUCAAGAACAAGGGAGGUUCACAGUUCACAC
rnacentral:lncRNA from 1 species